rnacentral:lncRNA from 1 species
AAAGAGAUGCUUACAAAUUGCUGUCAGUAUUUGAAACAGGAAAAACUCAGCUGGAAAUUUUUGAUUUUUUUUAAAAAAGAUCCUUGAUGGAUAGCUAGCAUUUUGGGAGGAUGCUUGGAGAAGCCGGAUGAUCUAAGUAAGGUUAUAAGCAGAGGCAGAUAAUCUUCCCAAUCAUCAUAUAAGACUUACAUCAUGGCUCUUUCUGUCCUCCUUAGCCCAACCAAAAAGAUGGACCAUCUGAAAGACUUAAUUAGAAGUACAAUGGUAGAAACAUUUAAGAAAGAAGUAGAGCCCAGCAUGAAUCUCAUGAUCUAUAAGUGUACCUGAAGUCAGAAGACAUCAAUGAAAAAAUCUACCUUUUAUUACUGAUAAUUCAGGAAUCUUGAUAAUUUGGGAAUUCUGCAUCUUUUAGCUACUCUUAUCUCUAAAAUUUGAUUUUUUUUCUCUGAAAUGUAUAACUGAAAUACUUGAAUUGACUUUUUUUAGCAUUUAUCAUAAUAUUUAGUCAUAAUGAAGAAAUUCUGCCCUAAGGAAACGGCAAUUUUGCAUCAAGUAGAUUUUAGCCAUGAAUUUCUGUACUAAAUGCAGUCCUCAAUAUUGAUCAAAAUAAUGAAAAAAGGAUGAAAUUAAUCCUGAAAUUAUCCUGUAAAACAUUUCUUGCCUUCAAGCUGAUGUUCACACCUUCCAUUCUUGGUAACUCUGGAGUCAGAGGAGAGCUUAACAGAACUAGUGAAUACCAUCCUCAGAAAGGAUCCCCACUAGACUGUCUGCAUUUGGGCACUUUCCAGGGAAGAACUGUGUCUAAACAGCACGAGUGCUAUGCAGCUCUGCCCCCCAUAACCGACUACCACAUGAUGGAUUCCCUCAAGUGCAUUAAUAUGUAUAUGUUUCAGAGAGGAGAUGUUCUUAUUGUAUUCUCUCUUACCCACAAAUUCAAAAUCUAAGAAUAUGUGACAAUAAUUAUUUUAAGUGAGUUUAUUUUUUCUAACCAAUUUAACAUAGUAACUUCAUGUAAAAUAACACUAUUAUCACCAAGUGAUAUAACUACUGAGUAUGAAAAAGAAAGCUAAAAUUACUAAAAUAUCUACCACUGUG